rnacentral:rRNA from 1 species
AAAGGGGUAGCAAUACACCCGGUAAAGUGGCGAACGGGNAGUAACACGUGGGUAACCUGCCCUCGAGCUCGGAAUAACCCGCCGAAAGGUGGGCUAAUACCGGAUAAAGUUCUCGGUUCUUCGGGACUGGGAACCAAAGAUGGCCAAUGCUUGCAAGCUAUCACUUGAGGAGGGGCCCGCGGCCCAUUAGCUAGUUGGCGGGGUAAUGGCCCACCAAGGCGACGAUGGGUAGCCGGCCUGAGAGGGCGAUCGGCCACAUUGGAACUGAGACACGGUCCAGACUCCUACGGGAGGCAGCAGUGAGGAAUCUUGCGCAAUGGGCGAAAGCCUGACGCAGCAACGCCGCGUGGGUGAUGAAGGCCUUCGGGUCGUAAAACCCUGUCAGGUGGGAAGAAUCGGGUGGGGGCUAAUAUCCUCCACUCCUGACUGUACCACCGGAGGAAGCCCCGGCUAACUCCGUGCCAGCAGCCGCGGUAAUACGGAGGGGGCCAGCGUUGUUCGGAAUUAUUGGGCGUAAAGGGCGCGUAGGCGGUCGAGUAAGUCUGACGUGAAAUCCCUUGGCUCAACCAAGGAACUGCGUCUUAAACUGCUCGGCUUGAGUCCGGGAGAGGGUAGUGGAAUUCCCAGUGUAGCGGUGAAAUGCGUAGAUAUUGGGAGGAACACCGGUGGCGAAGGCGGCUACCUGGACCGGUACUGACGCUGAGGCGCGAAAGCUAGGGUAGCAAACAGGAUUAGAUACCCUGGUAGUCCUAGCUGUAAACGAUGGGCACUUGGGUGUAGCGGGUAUCGACCCCUGCUGUGCCGAAGCUAACGCAUUAAGUG